rnacentral:rRNA from 1 species
CCAGACUCCUACGGGAGGCAGCAGUGGGGGAUAUUGCACAAUGGGCGAAAGCCUGAUGCAGCGACGCCGCGUGAGGGAAGACGGUCUUCGGAUUGUAAACCUCUGUCUUUGGGGAAGAAUAGAGACGGUACCCAAAGAGGAAGCUCCGGCUAACUACGUGCCAGCAGCCGCGGUAAUACGUAGGGAGCGAGCGUUGUCCGGAAUUACUGGGUGUAAAGGGAGCGUAGGCGGGCUUGUAAGUUGAAUGUCUAAUCCACCGGCUCAACCGGUGAUCGCGUUCAAAACUGCAGGUCUUGAGUGAAGUAGAGGCAGGCGGAAUUCCUAGUGUAGCGGUGAAAUGCGUAGAUAUUAGGAGGAACACCAGUGGCGAAGGCGGCCUGCUGGGCUUUAACUGACGCUGAGGCUCGAAAGCGUGGGGAGCAAACAGGAUUAGAUACCCCCGUA